rnacentral:ncRNA from 1 species
UUAAUAAAAAAUGUUUAUUUUCCAAAUAAAAGAUUCUAUAAAGAAAAACAAAAUUUAUUUGAUUUUGGUAAAAAAAGAUCGUUUAAUUUAAGAACAUAAAAACAGUGUUUUUUGUAAAAAUUUUAGUUUUUAGAUUUUCUGUUAUAGGGAAUUAUGAGGAAGUGAAUUAAAUAUGUUGAAGCUAAAAUAAGUGCCAGCAGCUGCGGUUAUACUUUGGGCAACAGAUCUUUUUUUGGUAUAAAAUUAUUUUAAAAUGAUCAACUAUAAUUACAGAUAAGUUGAAUUAAUAAAAAUUUUUAGUUUAAAUAAUUGAAAAAACUAAGAUUAGAGACCUUAUUAUUAAUUAUGAAAUAAUAUUAUAACAAUUAAAAUGAAAAAUUUUGGCAGUUAAUCACUCUUUCUAGGGGAACGUGUUCAGUAAUAGAUGGUCCGCUUAUUAAUUCACUUUAUUUGACAAGUUAGUGUACGGCUGUUUAUUAUGAUAAUUGAAAGAUUAUAUAUUAAAUUAAUAAUUUUAAGUCAAGUCAUUGUGCAGCUUAUAAUAAAGUAAAGAAUUCGUUACUUUUAAAUAUAGUGAAUGAAAAAUAUUAAAGUUAGGACUUAGAAGUAAAAAAAAAUUAAUUAGUUUUUUUGAAAUAAGUGUUGAUUUAGUGUACACACCGCCCGUCAAUUUUUUUUAAAAAAUAAGUCGUAACAUGGUAAUUUUAACUGAAGUUGAAGUUGGGGGUUU